GACGAACGCUGGCGGCGUGCUUAACACAUGCAAGUCGAACGGAAAGGCCCUGCUUUUGUGGGGUGCUCGAGUGGCGAACGGGUGAGUAACACGUGAGUAACCUGCCCUUGACUUUGGGAUAACUUCAGGAAACUGGGGCUAAUACCGGAUAGGAGCUCCUGCUGCAUGGUGGGGGUUGGAAAGUUUCGGCGGUUGGGGAUGGACUCGCGGCUUAUCAGCUUGUUGGUGGGGUAGUGGCUUACCAAGGCUUUGACGGGUAGCCGGCCUGAGAGGGUGACCGGCCACAUUGGGACUGAGAGACGGCCCAGACUCCUACGGUAGGCAGCAGUGGGGAAUAUUGCACAAUGGGAGGAAGUCUGAUGCAGCGACGCCGCGUGCGGGAUGACGGCCUUCGGGUUGUAAACCGCUUUCGCCUGUGACGAAGCGUGAGUGACGGUAAUGGGUAAAGAAGCACCGGCUAACUACGUG
rnacentral:rRNA from 1 species